AGGACGAACGCUGGCGGCGUGCUUAACACAUGCAAGUCGAGCGGAAAGGCCCUUCGGGGUACUCGAGCGGCGAACGGGUGAGUAACACGUGAGCAACCUGCCCCUAGCUCUGGGAUAGCUCCGGGAAACCGGGAUUAAUACCAGAUACGACCACUUUAGACAUCUUUUGUGGUGGAAAGGAUUCCGGCUAGGGAUGGGCUCGCGGCCUAUCAGCUUGUUGGUGAGGUAACGGCCCACCAAGGCGACG
rnacentral:rRNA from 1 species